AUGAGCUUUGGGUGACCUUCAAUCCUUCAUCCUAUUUUAGGAGUGUAUUAUACUUUGGAUCAUUGGGAACAAAUUUUAGGGGUUUGCUCAUGUCGUUGGCUGGGAAGUCUGGUAUUGAAUUCCAAGAGUUUGUUGAGGUGUCAAACCCUCUUCAAUAGAUGGGUUGGAAAUCUAGAAAUGAUCUUGGUGAACAUAAGGAAGAGUUAAGUUUAAGGGAUUGAUAUGUUUGGACAUAAGGAAGAGCUACCAGGAACGGAUAUGGAAAUUGGCGAUUCCCCAUAACUACAAAGAGAGAUGCAGAGAGUCUGGACUACAAAAAAACUGCUUGAUAUGAGUUUCUCACCUCUUAAAUUUUGUCGAGUUGGGUUGUAUUUGAUCUUAAAAGUGUCAAUUAAACAAAUUAGCCUAAACGUAUCAAGUAAAAGAAAAGCUCAAAUGGGUUGAAAGUGAAACUAUUUUUUAAUGUGUAGUUGCAUACAACCUCUUUAAACAAUUUUUUUUGAAGAUUGAUGUUGUAUUAUUUCAAUACAAUUUAUUUAAUCAU
rnacentral:lncRNA from 1 species